rnacentral:rRNA from 1 species
UACGGGGGGGGGGCAAGCGUUUGUUCGGAAUUACUGGGCGUAAAGGGCUCGUAGGUUGCCAACUAAGUCAGACGUGAAAUCCCUCGGCUUAACCGGGGAACUGCGUCUGAUACUGGAUGGCUUGAGUUCGGGAGAGGGAUGCGGAAUUCCAGGUGUAGCGGUGAAAUGCGUAGAUAUCUGGAGGAACACCGGUGGCGAAGGCGGCAUCCUGGACCGGUAUUGACGCUGAGGCGCGAAAGCCAGGGGAGCAAACGGG